UCCCCAGGGAAGCGGUCACAGCCCUGAGCCUGCCAGAGUUCAAGAAGCAUUUGGACAACACUCUCAGACUCAGGUCUGAGGUUUUGUGUGGUCCUUUGGGGACUCAGGAGUUGGAUGUGAUGAUCCCUUGUGGAUCCCUUCCAACUCGGAUAUUAUGAUUCUAUAAUACAGCUACGUAACUGUUAUACUUGCAUUUUUUGUGACUUUUUUAGUUGAAUGUCACAAGGUAAAAUUGAAAAUAGACAAUUACCAUCAUAGUUUGUUGCAAGGAGUGUUGCUAGAUAAGUUUGUGUAUAUAGCUACAGCUAGCUUUUAUGUUCUUCCCUCCCCCCAAUGUAGCACACAAUUUUCAACACUGGUUAUAAUAAAACUUUGUUAACCAUAGGUUACAACCAUAUACACAAAUUCUUGAAUCCAAUUUGGACAGAGCUCAUUACUUUUAUCUCCUAAGAUUGGGCUGCAUUCACUGGCUGGAUGAAAGAGAAUUAUACAUUUUCAGAAAGUGUGCAAUUCCUCUAGGAUUUCUGUAACCAUGGUAACAUAUAUAGAUAGCAGGCCUAAUUCCAGCCCAUGUUUUAUUGUGCCAGCAGUAAAGAAUUAGAUUCUAAAAAUACCACCCUAGCCCUUGGAAUGAAGUAUUGGCAUUUUACUUCCCUGUUAAAAAAAAUGCAGGUUAUAUAUUGCUACACUUUAACAAACACAUUAAGUAUAAAAUGCCAAGAAUUGUUCCCUGGUACAGCUAUGCAGGAUGUCCUGUUUCUUUAAACAUCCACAGUG